CCAGAGGAAGGAGGAGUGAAACUCUUUGCAAGAGAGAUUUUCACCAUCACCCAUUAAGCCAGUUGAGGCUUACCUAAUUGCAUUAUGAAGAUCAGGGAUAUCCCACAACCAAAACUGCUUCAGACUAAUGGAAACCUUCAUCUGCAAGUUCAUCACAGGUUGGUCAACAGAGUUUUGUUUCUGAACCAGUUGUCCUUUUGGAACUAAUUGAACUCCUGCUGCUAUCUUCAGAAUGGUGAAGUCAAGCCAUGCACGCAGACUCAAAGGAACGUUGUAAGGACUUUUCUGAAGUGAGAAGUUUGUUGCUGCUGUGUGUCAAUGAACAAACUUGCUUCAAACUCUGCUGUCAUUUUUACUGCUAUCAUUUCCAGAAAGUGGCAGUAAACAGAUUUGAAGAUGGUAACCAGUGAUUUCAGGACACUAUUCCGAAGCAAUGUGGUGCCAUCUUCAUCGGUGACCUGACCAAGAAUUACUCUUUGACAAGCAGAAGUGAUUGCUUACUAUAGUUUUGCCGGUUAUGAGGCUUUGCGAGGUGCAGCUUUGUCGCCAAGUCUCCUGUACUAACUACGUUUCAAAAUCACUUUAUCAGUUAUAAAAUGUUCUGGGGCAUCCCGAGGUAGUGAGAGAAGCUAUAUAAAUGCACACCUUUCUUUCUGUCACUGCCUCUAUUGCAAAUAUUCAGUGAUGCCAAGGUGGAGUACAAGAAGCAGUAGGGGAAUUAACUGCACUGAGUUGGCAUGUUGGAUUUAAACCCUGAACCAGUGUCACAAACCUCUUCAGCCCCAAUGGCAGUUUGAUAUGUCCCUACUCCAUUAUUGCAGAUGCUUGAAGGAGAAAUAUUGCUUCCCCACCCAAUCUGUUCAAAGCAUCCGAUCCAAGAAAACCCACAUGAACCAACAUCUGAAAGCACCAAGUCAAUCAGUUAACAUGGGCACCUGGCAUGCAACUGUUAGAAGUGGGACAACUGAAUAAGUUAAAGACCAAUUUGGAGAAAUAACCAGAUGGAUGUUUACCAGGAAUGCAAUCCAUGAAGCAAAUAUGACUUGUGACAUCUAGCAGAGUCUUUUAUUGGAGGUUUCAAACAUCAGGUACAAGAUGAAAUGUAGCUUUGUAGAAACAAAGUGUAGGGUGGAUGACUAUUUAUAGACUACAGAAGGAUAUUGAGGGCCAAGAGGUUCAAGCUUCACUGGUUUUGAAGAUGACUUUAGACUUGGGUAGAGAGCACACAGAUUAAGAGUUUGCCGGAAAGCCCCUCCUGAAUCCGAGCACCAGAAAGAAAGCCAUUCUUCAAUACAGUUCUUCAGCUCCAAACCAAAACCAACAUCUGCUGAGAAACAUAUACCACAGGCACUGGCCUAAGGAGCUUCCAAAGUGCUGUAUACACAGGGUAGAUUGAUGUGAUGGUAGCAUCAAUAGGGAUUCUGCUGCUUUUCAUAAAAUGCAAGGAAACAGCAAAGCUUGGAACUAUGCCUACAGCAGAUUGCCUGCUAUAGCCUGAUAAAUUAUCAUCACAGUUAGCCACAACAUGCUGUUGAUAAUUCAGGAAUUCUCAAUGAUCAGGAUCAAAUCUCUGGCGUAAUUAUGCUUUAUCUGUACCUUUCCAUUACUUGUUCAAUAUCUCUAAUAGUAAAUCUGAACUGAAUUCCAAGGCCUGAGUGAUGAUUACUAACAAAGCCCAUUGCUUCUGAACUGAAUGGCCUUUAUAUGAAUGCAGUCAUUUGUCAAUUUUAACAUCAGCCCAUAGAGAGCACAUCAUUUUUGUACUUUCAGGCAUUGAAUGCACUUGUCAUUGAUGAAAUUGCAUGCAUGGUUUACCUGUGACAUUAUGUGAUGCACUAUAGAGUAAGCU